GAGGAUGGAGCCAGACGGCCAGGCACCCGGCUGCAACCCGGUUGAAGUGGGUUCGACUCCCACCGUCCUCU
rnacentral:tRNA from 1 species